rnacentral:rRNA from 1 species
GCAUAUCAAUAAGCGGAGGAAAAUUUAGCGUCGUGCUCGCCGCAGCUACGGCGAGUGAGCGGGAAGAGCUCAAAUUUGAAAUCUGGUAGCCUUCGGUUGCCCGAGUUGUAAUCUAGAGAAGUGUUUUCCGCGUUGGCCCAUGUACAAGUCCCUUGGAACAGGGCGUCAUAAAGGGUGAAAAUCCCGUCCUUGACAUGGACCCCCAAUGCUUUGUGAUACACUUUCAACGAGUCGAGUUGUUUGGGAAUGCAGCUCAAAAUGGGUGGUGAAUUCCAUCUAAAGCUAAAUAUUGGCGAGAGACCGAUAGCGAACAAGUACCGUGAGGGAAAGAUGAAAAGCACUUUGGAAAGAGAGUUAAACAGUACGUGAAAUUGUUGAAAGGGAAACGAUUGAAGUCAGUCAUGCUCUUUGGAUUAAGCCGUUCUGCGGUGUAUUUCAUUGAGCGGGGUCAACAUCAGUUUUGAUCGCUGGAAAAGGGCAGGAGGAAGGUAGCACUCUCGGGUGAACUUAUAGCCUCUUGUCGUAUACAGUGAUUGGGACUGAGGAACGCAGCAUGCCUUUUGGCCGGGAUUCGUCCACGUACAUGCUUAGGAUGUUGACUAAAUGGCUUUAAACGACCCGUCUUGAAACACGGACC